GCGCUUGUAGCUUAACUGGAUAGAGCAGUUGCCUCCUAAGCGACCGACGUGGGUUCGAGUCCCGCCAAGCGCACCA
rnacentral:tRNA from 1 species